rnacentral:rRNA from 1 species
UACGUAGGGUGCAAGCGUUGUCCGGAAUUAUUGGGCGUAAAGAGCUCGUAGGCGGUCUGUUGCGUCGGCUGUGAAAACCCGAGGCUCAACCUCGGGCCUGCAGCCGAUACGGGCAGACUAGAGUUCGGCAGGGGAGACUGGAAUUCCUGGUGUAGCGGUGAAAUGCGCAGAUAUCAGGAGGAACACCGGUGGCGAAGGCGGGUCUCUGGGCCGAUACUGACGCUGAGGAGUGAAAGCGUGGGGAGCGAACAGG